rnacentral:rRNA from 1 species
AAUCAACGCUGGCGGCGUGCCUCAGACAUGCAAGUCGAACGAGAAGUCCCCUUCGGGGGAGUGACAGUGGCGCACGGGUGAGUAACACGUGGGUAAGUUUACCUUUGGGUGGGAACAACAGCCGGAACGGACUGCUAAUACCGCAUAAUGCAGCGGCUCGACAUCGAGACAGUUGUUAAAGCGGGGGAUCGCAAGACCUCGCGCCUGAAGAGAAGCCCGCGGCAGANAGCUAGUUGGUAGGGUAAUGGCCUACCAAGGCGACCGAUCUGUAACCGGCCGUGAGAGGGCGGUCGGUCACACUGACACUGACAUAC